rnacentral:rRNA from 1 species
CUAGGGGGUCUGAAAGGAUGAUCCCCCACACUGGUACUGAGACACGGACCAGACUCCUACGGGAGGCAGCAGUGAGGAAUAUUGCGCAAUGGAGGAAACUCUGACGCAGCCAUGCCGCGUGCAGGAUUGACGGCCCUAUGGGUUGUAAACUGCUUUUCUGUGCCAUGAACCUUCCCUACGUGUAGGGAACUGACAGUAGCACAAGAACAAGCAUCGGCUAACUCCGUGCCAGCAGCCGCGGUAAUACGGAGGAUGCAAGCGUUAUCCGGAUUCACUAGGUUUAAAGGGUGCGUAGGCGGGAGGAUAAGUCAGUGGUGAAAGCCUGCGGCUCAACCGUAAAAUUGCCAUUGAUACUGUCCCCCUUGAGUCCGGCUGUGGUGAGUGGAAUGAGUAAUGUAGCGGUGAAAUGCUUAGAUAUUACUCAGAACUCCAAUCGCGAAGGCAGCUCACCAAACCGGCACUGACGCUGAGGCACGAAAGCGUGGGGAGCAAACAGGAUUAGAUACCCUGGUAGUCCACGCUGUAAACGUUGAUCACUCGUCGUUGGCAAUACAUCGUCAGCGGCUUAGCGAAAGCAUUAAGUGAUCCACCUGGGGAGUACGUCAGCAAUGAUGAAACUCAAAGGAAUUGACGGGGGCCCGCACAAGCGGAGGAACAUGUGGUUUAAUUCGAUGAUACGCGAGGAACCUUACCUGGGCUUAAAUGUAGAGUGCAUAGAGUGGAAACAUUCUUUUCCUUCGGGACCCUUUACAAGGUGCUGCAUGGUUGUCGUCAGCUCGUGCCGUGAGGUGUCGGGUUAAGUCCCAUAACGAGCGCAACCCCUAUCGUCAGUUGCCAUCACUUCGGGUGGGAACUCUGGCGAAACUGCCGGUGCAAACCGCGAGGAAGGUGGGGACGACGUCAAAUCAGCACGGCCCUUAUGUCCAGGGCUACACACGUGUUACAAUGGCCGGUACAGUGGGACGCUACCACGCAAGUGGAGGCUAAUCUCUAAAACCGGUCUUAGUCCGGAUCGGAGUCU